rnacentral:rRNA from 1 species
AUGUGCGAGUUGUUUGCUGAGCAAGUGAAUGCCGGAAAUAUAGCAGUACCUCGAGAGUGCGGCGGUGACCAUUGGAAUCCCUCUUCCGGCAUACCUCCCCCCUCUAGUGCGGCGGUGAAAGCCGCCAUCAAUGUUGAUGAGAUCGAAGAUCUUGAUUUGGAUGAUACUGAAGAACAAACAUCUCAGGCAACACCUACUUCAUCUAAAGUGAGGCUUGGGAUCGUCAUUCCGGAGAAGAACAAGAAACCAAAGACCGCACAAGUGAUGUGUGAGCAAGUUACAAGAAUUGGUGACAUUGCUGAGGCUUCUCACUCAUCAUUCCAGUCUUUCGUGAAGCAAGAUAAGGCAAACUGUGUCACCUCGGUCAUGGAUGAAGUCAUUGCUUGUGGUGCAACAAUAGGUACCGAUGAGUUCUUCAUGGCUAGCGAGUUGUUUAUGAAGAGGGCACAAAGGGAGAUGUUUCUUUACAUUCCUCUUGAGUCUCGAAAGAGUUGGUUGCGUAGGAAGUAUGACUUGAAGUAUGGGAACUAG